AGAGAUGAGUCUUGGCAUCCGUCAUGUACUCGACAACUUCGCGUCUAAGCGGCGGCUCCGACCGUCCUAAGCGAGCCACGAUUAUGUUGAGAGCCUGGACUCUAAGAAUUUCUUGUAGGUUUACGGAUAAAGGCUGCGUGUAAUGCAUUUUAGGCAAGAGAGGUUUGGUGUAUUUCAUCAGCGUGUUGGAGACGGAUGUGCAGGUGAACCUCACUGCUAAGUGAAGCUCGCCUCUUUUCUUGAGACCAGAUGGGGUUAGAACUAGUAAAGGGUACGCGUUCGUGUAUACGCGGCCCGUCUGAAGAGUAGAGAGUCUGAUACGGACUUUCCCAAUGGUCUGAUCUCUGCCAUUUCCAGAUGAAAAGUGACCGUUGUCGAAUACGCAGAUGGUUAAGACCGUCGCGGGGUCUAAAACCUCCCAUGUGUACUGCUCAUUGUACUUUGGAUUCAAGCUGUUGAUCACAGUUCUCGACCGAACCCACUUGUGACCGUACUUGGCAACAACGUACGUGUCCGAAGUACCUUUCCCGUCUCGGUUUUUAACCGGGUGGAGCCCGUUUGCGUUGAGUAUCCCAAGCUCCAAGACACCGAUCGCUUGUUUCCAGAGCUGUCUCGCCGUUGGCCUUAGAUCGCUGCUGUAGUAAGUAGACUCGUCAAAGACAUGGUAGCCUCCUUCAAGAACCGCAGCCACGUGGAGCCUAGUAGCGAACUUUACUCUCUUGGCUUUGUCCUCAUCCAUAGCGUCUGAGAUCGAGUCUUCGAGAUGAAACCAACGGCUACGGAACGCUCUAUCAUCAUUACGUCUCUCGAUAGCGGAGAGAGGGAUCACAGCUUUGCCUACAGGCUCGUCUCUGUUGGCUGCGGAGUGGUCUUCCACCGAGAGGACCAGGUGUUCCUCAAACGGCUCCGCGACUACGAACAUGAACUCAUUGUCCCAUCUCGGAUGAAAGCUUCUUUGAGCCACUUUAGUCUUUAACAUCUGGUUACCGACCUGGAUUCUCACAAAGGCUUCAGGGAGACGUGACUUGUCGGAGACUAUGAUCACGUCUUGAGCCUCUAUUAUCUUCACCCUUAGGUACCAUAGCCGAGGGGAAUGGUAGACCUUGGACCGGAGGUUAGCGGAGAUAAUGUCGGAGCUGUCUGAAGAUGUUAACGAGUCUGAGAAGACAGCAUCACCGAAGGCUUCAUCAGCUUGAGUACCUUCCCAAACAGCAAGCAUGAUCUCAGCUCUCUUCUUCUCACCUCUCUUGUUCUCAAGUCUAUACCACUCUGGAGCUAAAGGACUAUCCGGAGGGACACGAGAUUGAACCUCAUUGAGAUCAAACCGGACAGUGCCAACGUAAUCAUCUAGGACAAGGUCUUUAUCCUUGACGACUAUUUCGAGAACGUUGGACUGAAGAUUCUCUUUAGCAAAUGCAAAGACUUGGUUCCACUCCGGAUCCGAGUUCUUGUCCAAAUGUCUUGUAACUCCUUUGAAGUUUCCUAUUUUUACUUCCACGUAAGGGUCUAGGCUUCCCGUUAGGUCUCUGUCGGGGAGAUCACGCGCCUUCACGACUCUCACGAAGAGAAACCUCAUCUCUUCGACGAGAUCGUAUGUGCCUACGGGCCUCUGCGUACCACGAACUAUUCGUCCUCCAAUGAUCCGUCCACCUCCGAGGAAAGGGCUCGUCUCUUUCACAGUGAAAUCUGAUGAUGGGCCUGGGCCGUUGUGAAGAAGAUGAAAGAGUUCUAUAUAGAGACAUAUAUAUGUUUGUUUGAAUCCUCACGAAACACGAUUCAGAGCAUAGAGUCUGUCAUGGCCGGAAGUCGCCGGAAAAAGUUGAGCGGAGCCGAUGGAAUGCGGUGUCGGAGCUUAGGGUGCCUCAUGAAGUAGUAACCGGAGAGGAGAGCAAAGAGCUUAAAAGGUGUUAUGUAGAGAACCAUUGCAACGAUGAAACAGAACGUCACAAAUAUUGCGGUAGCGCGUGGAUCACGCCAGCUCAGCAGAGCCUGCACGCGCUCUCCCUGUGCCGCUAUGUCUCCAACCACCGUCUGUAUCUUCCCCGCCACAAUUCUCAGCCGAUCAUACCUGUUAAACAACCGUGUUAGAGGUUCCAGGUUCGAGAGACCAUAGGGACGAAACUAAUAUUACAUUUAUUGUUUCGGGUCGGGAGGAUUACUAGCUUCGGUCCCGAACCUCAUAGUAUUCAAAAAAAUAAAUUAAGUAAAUAACUUGAUGAGUUACCUCAUUUUGACAAUGUCUGGAGCCUUCAUGGUCGGGAAGAUAUCAAACUCUUCGUCGAGCUCAUCAGCAUUCACACUCUCCGCGUAAGACAGUUUGGUAUCCAUAUGAGGAGGAAACCUCGGCCUAAUCCUGUAGUUCCACAACCCAAUCACAGCCAUAUACAGAAACACAGUCGGCAAAAUCAUCUCCGGGAACAUCACAAGCAUCGUGUACAACACAUGCACAAGCCCCGUCGUCACCGGCGUCCUCCAGCUGCAAACUUCUCCCAUCCAUUUCCACACCGACAUCACUCCCGAGAACACCGCGGUGAACCUAAAGAAGUUAGCCUUGCUUCUCCUCAUGCUGAAGAGAUGAGUCUUGGCAUCCGUCAUGUACUCGACAACUUCGCGUCUAAGCGGCGGCUCCGACCGUCCUAAGCGAGCCACGAUUAUGUUGAGAGCCUGGACUCUAAGAAUUUCUUGUAGGUUUACGGAUAAAGGCUGCGUGUAAUGCAUUUUAGGCAAGAGAGGUUUGGUGUAUUUCAUCAGCGUGUUGGAGACGGAUGUGCAGGUGAACCUCACUGCUAAGUGAAGCUCGCCUCUUUUCUUGAGACCAGAUGGGGUUAGAACUAGUAAAGGGUACGCGUUCGUGUAUACGCGGCCCGUCUGAAGAGUAG
rnacentral:lncRNA from 1 species